CCUACGGGGGGCUGCAGUGGGGAAUAUUGGACAAUGGGCGAAAGCCUGAUCCAGUCAUGCCGCGUGUGUGAAGAAGGCCUUCGGGUUGUAAAGCACUUUCAGUGGGGAAGAAAGCCUUGGGGCUAAUACCCUCGAGGAAGGACAUCACCCACAGAAGAAGCACCGGCUAACUCCGUGCCAGCAGCCGCGGUAAUACGGAGGGUGCGAGCGUUAAUCGGAAUUACUGGGCGUAAAGCGCGCGUAGGCGGUCUGAUAAGCCGGUUGUGAAAGCCCCGGGCUCAACCUGGGAACGGCAUCCGGAACUGUCAGGCUAGAGUGCAGGAGAGGAAGGUAGAAUUCCCGGUGUAGCGGUGAAAUGCGUAGAGAUCGGGAGGAAUACCAGUGGCGAAGGCGGCCUUCUGGACUGACACUGACGCUGAGGUGCGAAAGCGUGGGUAGCAAACAGGAUUAGAUACCCCAGUAGUC
rnacentral:rRNA from 1 species